GCAGUAGGGAAUCUUCCACAAUGGACGAAAGUCUGAUGGAGCAACGCCGCGUGAGUGAAGAAGGGUUUCGGCUCGUAAAGCUCUGUUGGUAGUGAAGAAAGAUAGAGGUAGUAACUGGCCUUUAUUUGACGGUAAUUACUUAGAAAGUCACGGCUAACUACGUGCC
rnacentral:rRNA from 1 species